GAUGAACGCUGGCGGCGUGCUUAACACAUGCAAGUCGAGCGAGAAGUUUUGAAAAGAUUCUUCGGAUGAAAUUUAAAAUGGAAAGCGGCGGACGGGUGAGUAACGCGUAGGCAACCUGCCCCAUACAAAGGGAUAGCAUUUGGAAACGAAUAUUAAUACCUUAUGAAACUUAACUAGUGCAUGCUAGGGAGGUCAAAGAUUUAUCGGUAUGGGAUGGGCCUGCGUCUGAUUAGCUAGUUGGUGAGGUAACGGCUCACCAAGGCGACGAUCAGUAGCCGACCUGAGAGGGUGAACGGCCACAUGGGAACUGAGGCACGGUCCAAACUCCUACGGGAGACAGCAGUGGGGAAUAUUGCACAAUGGGGGAAACCCUGAUGCAGCAACGCCGCGUGAACGAUGAAGGCCUUUGGGUCGUAAAGUUCUGUUCUAGGUGAUGAAAACUGACAGUAACCUAGGAGAAAGCCCCGGCUAACUCCGUG
rnacentral:rRNA from 1 species